rnacentral:rRNA from 1 species
AACUAACAAGGAUUCCCCUAGUAACUGCGAGUGAAGCGGGAAAAGCUCAAAUUUAAAAUCUGGCAGUCUUUGGCUGUCCGAGUUGUAAUCUAGAGAAGCAUUAUCCGCGCUGGACCGUGUACAAGUCUCCUGGAAUGGAGCGUCAUAGAGGGUGAGAAUCCCGUCUUUGACACGGACUGCCAGGGCUUUUGUGAUGUGCUCUCAAAGAGUCGAGUUGUUUGGGAAUGCAGCUCAAAAUGGGUGGUAAAUUCCAUCUAAAGCUAAAUAUUGGCGAGAGACCGAUAGCGAACAAGUACCGUGAGGGAAAGAUGAAAAGAACUUUGGAAAGAGAGUUAAACAGUACGUGAAAUUGCUGAAAGGGAAACGCUUGAAGUCAGUCGCGUUGGCCAGGGAUCAACCUUGCUUCAUUGCUUGGCUUACUUCCUGGUUAAUGGGUCAGCAUCAAUUUUGAUCGGUGGAAAAAGUUCAGGGGAAUGUGGCAUCUUCGGAUGUGUUAUAGCCUUUGUUCGCAUACAUCGGUUGGGAUUGAGGAACUCAGCACGCCGCAAGGCCGGGUUUUUAACCACGUACGUGCUUAGGAUGCUGGCAUAAUGGCUUUAAUCGACCCGUCUUGAAACACGGACCAAGGAGUCUAACAUGCCUGCGAGUGUUUGGGUGGAAAACUCGAGCGCGUAAUGAAAGUGAAAGUUGAGAUCCCUGUCGUGGGGAGCAUCGACGCCCGGAUCAGACCUUUUGUGACGAUUCCGCGGUAGAGCAUGUAUGUUGGGACCCGAAAGAUGGUGAACUAUGCCUGAAUAGGGUGAAGCCAGAGGAAACUCUGGUGGAGGCUCGUAGCGAUUCUGACGUGCAAAUCGAUCGUCAAAUUUGGGUAUAGGGGCGAAAGACUAAUCGAACCAUCUAGUAGCUGGUC